rnacentral:misc_RNA from 1 species
ACAUUCUCCAUCGGUAUCAAUAAGAGCGUCGAAAGAUAAAAGUAUAAGUUAAGGAUUCUUGUAAGUUCAAACAGUUUAGGGUAGUUGUUGAAGCAUUAUUUAAAACUUUUAAAUUAUUGUGACAUUGAAAUACGAAAACUUGAGGAUAUGUGAGAUCAGAGGUCACCACUACUUAACAACUAGCAAAAUGACCAGCUUUAAUAGCCCAUCUAUCAGGAAUUAUCAUCAUCUUUAUUGCCGAUACUGGACUUCUUAUGAUCAAAUGCAUUGAAAAAAGAUAGGCAGGGCAUGGAAGAAGAGUACUGCGUGAACCUAGAAAAUUUGUCAGUGGCUGGUCCUCUUCAACGGAGCACACUUCCACCUGCUCUUCAGCCCAACAGCAAAAGAAUUGAGGAAAUGACAGAACUUUAUGGAAAAGCAGCACAAACUAUUUAUGGGAUGGAAACUUCCUUGCAGUUAACCUUUGAUAAGUUCUGUGACUUAAAGCAACCAAAACUUUGGCCAAAUAUACCUUUUAAAUUUUAAGCUUGUCUUUUUUUUUGUGAAUAAAAAGUAAACUAAAAAAUAUAAACAGCAUUUUGCUUUCUAAAAAAC